UACUCUGAACGUUGGCUUUAUGAUCUGGAAAGAUGAUAGAAAAGACAAGAGAGAAUAAUAUUAUGCACAAACUCUGUAAUACAAGAGGGGGUUGAGACGUUAGGAUCCUUCAAGAUGGGUCCUCCUCCACAUCUCAUGCCUGUUUUUCAGUAAAGCUCAGUGUUAGUAGGAGUGAAUGAAGAAAUCGAGAUCGAACCACCCGACACGCUCUCUUCCCAUUUCUUGCAUUAGAAGCAAACUUGAUUGUUCAGAUUGGUCCCAGCACAAACUUCCUCCAGUUUUACAACCAAGAUAGUAGGUGCUGAGAGUGCUGCUCUGUUCUGUGAGGAAUGUCAUUGCAGAAUGCAGCAGUUUCAAACACAGUGCACUUCAGAAAAUGGAUAAGAGAAGCAAGGAAAGGCAGGUUCAACUAUUUCUGGGGAUUUUCGGGACUACUUUUACGAGGUUUUAUUCAACUGUAAGGGCAAAAUUUUAACUUCGAAGUCGUUAAAUGUGAAGGACUAUUACCUGAUCAAGUCGGUCAGCCAUAUUAGCUCUAUCAA